rnacentral:rRNA from 1 species
GUCUACGACCAUGCCACCCUGAAUGUGCCGAAGCCUGUCUGAUCUCGGAAGCUAAGCAGGGUUGGGCCACCUAGGAAGACCAGGUGCUGUAGGUG